CUUCUCUCGCGAGGACGGACGCCAUUAUCGCAUCUCCCCGACAAACACCACGAGAAUUCCGCAGCCCACACGGGUCUAAUCCAGGAUCCUACUCAGCAUUUAGUUGUCAUGUCUCCUUGAAGUCUCCUCCAAUCUGUGAUAUUUACAUAGCCCCAGAGUUCCUCUCCCAAGAUUUAUAUGCUACAAAGGGAAAAAUGGUAACUUCACAGUGGGAAAAGCUGACAGAUCCACCUUACCCAGUAAUAAGACCUUGUAUCCUGCGCCCCAGUGUGAUGCACUGAGACAGAAGUGCACGCCCACGGGUGCAGUCAUGUGAAAACCCAAACAGAGACAUUCACCAAAAUCUUAACUGUUGCUCCUCAAAAGUGUCCAGGUCUUGAAAAAACCGGGAAAGACUUAGAAUUUGCAUUUGAAAAGAUGGCCAGGUGUGGCAGAUGCCCUUUGAUGCUGAAGAAAUACUUCCUGGGCUAGAUGGUUGCCAAGGAAAUAAGAGAUAAGCACAGUCAUGUUUUGUGGAUUGGUGAGUGGAUGCUUCAGGCACAGGUCCUAGAGGAGUUUAUGUUCAUGGUUUAUCGGUACAGGACCCAGUACAAAGUGUUAGUCUUUAUUUUUUCUAUGAUCUUCGUCUACACGGUAUAAAUCCUGAAAAUUGUAGCUGUACCAUUAAAUACACGACCCACAAGACUAACUUUAAACUGUGCAUGUAACUUUAUCAGUUUAACUACUUGAAAUCUGGAAAAAAUAAACAUUUUUCUCAUUUUGAAGAAGUUCCUGGGGGAAAAUAAACAUUAAGGUGUCUGGUGAGAAUGUCUCAGAUAAAAAAGUUUUAAAAAGUCCUCCCUAUCACAGGUAAAUAAAGAUCAUUAUUGUGUUCUCUGA